rnacentral:rRNA from 1 species
UCCACGCCGUAAACGGUGGGCGCUAGUUGUGGGAACCUUCCACGGUUUCUGCGACGCAGCUAACGCAUUAAGCGCCCCGCCUGGGGAGUACGAUCGCAAGAUUAAAACUCAAAGGAAUUGACGGGGCCCCGCACAAGCAGCGGAGCAUGCGGCUUAAUUCGACGCAACGCGAAGAACCUUACCAAGGCUUGACAUAUACAGGAAUAUGGCAGAGAUGUCAUAGCGGUAAAACGUCUGUAUACAGGUGGUGCAUGGUUGUCGUCAGCUCGUGUCGUGAGAUGUUGGGUUAAGUCCCGC